CAAUGCUCUGCGAUCGCGGCAGCUGCUCUCCAAAUGUCAGCGCCAAGCCCGGCCAAAGGGCUGGAAGGCCACGGAGCCCAGGACUUUGUGCGCUACCUUUGUCGCCCACAUUUUCCCCAAGCACUCACAGGACCCUGGCAACAGGUAACGUGGCAACCUUUGCCUUCUAAAACGGCAAGCGGCAGGAUUUCAGAGAACAAAAGGAUUUUUUGAAAGCCAGCUGCAUCUCCCUCGCCACCCCCCUCCCCCCUCCCCACGCCCUUCCACUCCGCCACUCCAAGUCUGAGAAAACAAAGUAUUGCUGCGGCAGCCCGGCUCUCGAGCGUCCCCUGGUGACCAAGCUCGGAACAUCACCGAUGUACCUUUCAAGGUACAACUUCAGUUCGAGGCUCGGCUCCCAGGCCGAAUGCCAUCCACACAAAAGAGCUCCUGUCGACAUCUCAUUUACAAUCUACCCCCAGGACACAGACAGGACCAUUUCAAUAAACCCGGCUCAGAAACACCUAUUGUUCAAAAUCUUCAACUAGCCACAGGCUACCACCACUCCCUAUUGUUUUGUAAAAGAAAAGAUUUAGAAGGAGCCAGAUUGGAACCUGGAAGCUCUGAAAAGAGGAAGGAAAAAAGUUCCUUUGACCCGAUGCUGUUGGAGAACGUUCCUGAAGAAUAAAGCUAAUGGAUUUUCAUUUUUACAAGAAGUGCAUAAGCAACGCCCGCUCCCUUCCUGAACUCGUGAUCAGGGAUUCUAAAAGCGGUGCCAACUUUGUAAAGAAGUUAACUCCUGCCAACGGGUUUGGUACCUGCAAAGUCAAAAGUCUCUACUUACCCUAUUCUCUGUCUUACAAAAGCCCUGAUGGCAGCCACAGCAAAGCACCAGGUUUCAGAGCUCCAUGUCCUCCGGACCACUUUUCCUUUUAGCUGUUCAAGCCACCAAGUUCCCUGGCCUUUGCAGAUGGACUUUCCCUAUAGGAACAUUCUGUCCUCUUUCUCCUUCAGGUAUCAGCUGAGGUGUCGCCUUUUCCAGGAAGGCUUCCGGAAGUCCCUCUAAAUGCAUCCUCUUAGUUCUCAUGAGAACUCCUCACGUUUUAUCUGACAGAGCACUUAUUGCAUCAUGAUUAUCUUCUCAGUUCCUUACAGAACUUUAAGCUCCAAGGGGCAGCCAGUAUAUAUUUGUUGGGGGUAAAUAUUGUGCAUUGAAUGUGUCACAUCUUACACAGUUCACACUUCCUACAAACCCAUUUGGAUAGUUAUAAAAUAUCGUAUCUCUAUUUCUCAAAGCUUUAGUUUUCAUUCUUUUACACUGAAGUGUCUCUUGUUCAUUUGCUCUUCAACUACAACCUAAUCAACUUCCGAAUUCACUGGACUCCUCCUCUUAAAAAUCAAAAUAAUAAAAUGCGGGGAAAGCUGUUGUACCCCUGGCUGGUCACUCACCCUCUCUGAGCCUCAGAUAAUAUAGAGGAGCAGAGCUCACUCUAAGAUCUCUUCCAGGCUGCCACGCUGAACCUCUGGCUUGCACUUUCUAAGGACCAGAGAGGUUAAGUGACUUUCCCAAGGUCAAACAGCUCUCUAGUGGCAGGAUAUUGUCUGUCUUUCUAUAG